rnacentral:rRNA from 1 species
CAGUCGCCGCGGUAAUACGAGGGGUGCAAGCGUUAUUCGGAUUGAUUGGGUGUAAAGGGUGUGCAGACGGCUUAUUAAGUCACUUGUUAAAUUCUUCGGCCUAACUGAAGGUCUGUAAGUGAUACUGAUGAGCUAGAGGGUGGAAGAGAGAAGUGGGAUUCUCGGAGUAGCGGUAAAAUGCGUAGAUCUCGAGAGGAACACCAAUGGCGAAGGCAGCUUCUUGGUCCAUUCCUGACGUUCAUACACGAAAGUGUGGGGAGCAAACAGGAUUAGAUACCCGCGUAGUCCCUGUCUCUUAUAC